UAUCUCGAUACAAAAUCUCAUGUUAUGAAAAAACAAUAAUGGUUUGUUCAUAUCGAACUCGAAGUGCCAUGCUAUUAUUACUUAUUAUUCAUAUUCAAUAUGGCGAAGGCAUAGUCUUUCUUUUUUUUUUCAAAUAAAAACUCAUUGGCGCCAAGCGUGAGGGAAUGCUAGACGUUUGGUAAUUUCUCCUCCGAUCAGAAUGAAAGAUCCCAUAGAAGCGGCUAACCCCAUGCAUAUUGUAUGCACAUCGGGUGGCACAAAUUGCAUAGUAUCAUAAAUAGCUAUUCCUGAUACUACCCAUCCGCCGGGAGAGUUUAUAAACAAAAAAAGAUCCCUAGUAUUAUCUUCUAUACUGAGAUAUACCAUGAGACCAACAAUUUGAUUUGAGAUCUCGCUAUUAACCUCUUGACCUAAAAAAAGUAAUCUUUCUCGAUGAAGUCGGUUGAUUAGGACAAAAUUGGUUCCUUUAGGAACUGUACGUGCACCUUUGGAUGCAUACGGUUCAAAAAAAUUGCGAAAAAAGAAUCAAUGUGUCGAUUCCAGUUCUAUUUUUUUUUUUUUUUUUUCUGUAAUAGGUUUUUGUUUUUCUAAUAAAGCUUCCAUUUUUAAAAAGACAUGAGAUGAGUUUUGGCUUCCUUACCUAUAAAAAAAGAAUUUACUGAACUUAUUGAAAUUGAACAAAUCUCUCUCAUUGAUGUAUUGUUUCAUCGACAUUCAAAUCACGAUGUAAUUUUCUUGUUUCUGAAUGGGCCUUUUCAAUUCUUUUAGGUUCAUGUUCUACUCCGGGAAAAGAUCUGUCCGAAUUCCAUUUGCACAUAUAGGGCAAAUGGUCUCAGUACCACUUCUUUUUGUUACGACUUUUUUUUUUCAAUUCGUUUCAUGCCUUUCCCCAAUCAUUCGAUGUACUCAUCAUACUAUUCCGUUGGUUAUUGGUUGGACGUUUGAAAUCACUCCUAUAAUAAGGAUAAGAAUCGUUUAUGAUACAAGCGGUAAUCAUACAUUACAUGGAUUACCAAUUUGGUAUUUUCUGAACGGAGCCUGGAUACUUUAUUACUUUAUUUUAUCUGGAUACUUUAUUACUUUAUUUUAUUUUUAUUUUUCCAAGUCAACCAUAAAUUCUCCUAAUUGAUCCUCAAAAUAAAUAAAUUGAUCUAAUUGCACUUCACGCUCCGAAUGAUUGAUGGUUCACUCAAUACAAUAUUUCUUAGGCGAAACAGAGGAUAUUUCGAUCGAGGGAGAGAACGGGUAAAUUCCAUAUAACCCAAUAUGUCUGACAAGUCGCACUAUAAGUCAACCCAAACUGCAUCUUCCUCUCCAGGACUCCGAAAAGGUACUUUUGGAACACCAACGGGCAUUAAAUUAAAGAAAAAAUUGAGUACUAUACUUCACUUUAAUGUGGAAACAUAACAAUGGCUUUAUCGUCUUCAUCCCUUUUUCUGUUUAUUGUAUUUUAUACAUAGAUUUUUAUACAUAAAUUGGAAGGUUUAUUUUAUAGAGUAAGACAGAAUGAAUAAAGAAAAAUUUUAACUAACGGAUCAAUCGUUGGAGUAAUAAACAAGUAUCUAUGCAUUCGUUUCCCGAAAGUAGAACUAAUCCUCCCAUUGCGUAUUGGUACUUAUCGGGUAUAGAAUAGAUCUGCUUCUCUUUGUUCUUACGAACAGAAUUGUUCCAUUAUUUUCAAUGGAACGGAAUAAAAAUUAACCCUUUCUCAUACGGAAUCUACUGAAAAGGUUAGAUACAUAGUAUAGUCUUUUCCAAUGCGAUAAAAUAAAGUGACAUAGUGUCUAUUUUUCUUUGAUAAAGGGGUAUUUCCAUGGGUUUGCCUUGGUAUCGUGUUCAUACUGUCGUAUUGAAUGAUCCCGGUCGAUUGCUUUCUGUCCAUAUAAUGCAUACAGCCCUAGUUGCUGGUUGGGCCGGUUCGAUGGCUUUAUACGAAUUAGCGGUUUUUGAUCCCUCUGACCCCGCUCUUGAUCCAAUGUGGAGACAAGGUAUGUUCGUUAUACCCUUCAUGACUCGUUUAGGAAUAACCAAUUCGUGGGGUGGUUGGAGUAUUUCAGGAGGAACUGUAACGAAUCCCGGUAUUUGGAGUUAUGAAGGUGUGGCAGGGGCACAUAUUGUGUUUUCUGGCUUGUGCUUCUUGGCAGCUAUCUGGCAUUGGGUGUAUUGGGACCUAGAAAUAUUCUGUGAUGAACGUACGGGCAAACCAUCUUUGGAUUUGCCUAAGAUCUUUGGAAUUCAUUUAUUUCUCUCAGGGUUGGCUUGCUUUGGCUUUGGCGCAUUUCAUGUAACAGGUUUGUAUGGUCCUGGAAUAUGGGUGUCCGAUCCUUAUGGACUAACUGGAAAAGUACAACCCGUAAGUCCAGCGUGGGGCGCAGAAGGCUUUGAUCCUUUUGUUCCCGGAGGAAUAGCCUCUCAUCAUAUUGCAGCGGGUACAUUGGGCAUAUUAGCAGGCUUAUUCCAUCUUAGUGUCCGUCCGCCUCAACGUCUAUACAAAGGAUUACGUAUGGGCAAUAUUGAAACUGUACUUUCCAGUAGUAUCGCUGCUGUUUUUUUUGCAGCUUUCGUUGUUGCUGGAACUAUGUGGUAUGGUUCAGCAACUACCCCAAUCGGAUAUAUUUGGUCCCACUCGUUAUCAGUGGGAUCAGGGAUACUUUCAGCAAGAAAUAUAUCGAAGAGUUAGCGCCGGACUAGCCCAAAAUCUGAGUUUAUCGGAAGCUUGGUCUAAAAUUCCCGAAAAAUUAGCUUUUUAUGAUUACAUUGGUAAUAAUCCAGCAAAAGGGGGAUUAUUCAGAGCAGGGUCAAUGGACAACGGGGAUGGAAUAGCUGUUGGGUGGUUAGGACACCCGUCUUUAGAGAUAAAGAAGGGCGCGAGCUUUUUGUACGUCGUAUGCAUACCUUUUUUGAAACAUUUCCGGUAGUUUUGGUAGAUGGAGACGAAUUGUUAGAGCCGAUGUUCCUUUUAGAAGGGCAGAAUCAAAGUAUAGUGUUGAACAAGUAGGUGUAACUGUUGAGUUCUAUGGUGGCGAACUCAAUGGAGUCAGUUAUAGUGAUCCUGCGACUGUAAAAAAAUAUGCUAGACGUGCCCAAUUAGGUGAAAUUUUUGAAUUAGAUCGGGCUACUUUGAAAUCUGAUGGCGUUUUUCGUAGCAGUCCAAGGGGUUGGUUCACUUUUGCCAUGCUACGUUUGCUUUGCUCUUCUUUUUCGGACACAUUUGGCAUGGCGCUAGAACUUGUUCCAGAGAUGUUUUGCUGGCAGUGAUCCAGAUUUGGAUGC